CAUCUUUUCUUUUACCUUCCUCUUUAAAAUGAAAAUAAACACGCCGAUUGUUUUUCUUUCAGAGGCAGCAAAGUUCAAAUUUGUUUGGACCUCAAAAUAGCCAGCGAUCCAGCAGGGAUUUAGGUUGGACCUAAUGGCAGCAUGAUGGGAAUCCCGUGAGCUGAGGCCACAGCCCGAGCAUGGAGGUGCAGCCGGAGCUACAAAUCUGCCGCUGCUCAGAGGACUGAGGUCACGGCAAACCCAGUGUUCGGUCUAAACAUGUUGCUGCAACGUGGCGCAGCUGAUGCAAACUCACUGCUUGCAGGUCGCGGACAAGCUUUGGAUGAGCUUUGCAGAAGAGGCACAGGAGUGUGGUUGUUGCAAGCGGAUGAUGUGCAGAAAGAUAUGCCAGGAACCAUAUGCUCGCUCGUGACGGCAAGAUGAAUUUCGGGAUGGGGCCCGCUUGCCAUGGGAAGAGCAAGCCCAUCUGUGGAAGAGUGCAGAUGGGAACGGUUUGGGGGCUCCCAAACUGCAGAGCCGGGGCGUUGGUUUGGAAGGAG
rnacentral:lncRNA from 1 species